rnacentral:rRNA from 1 species
UACGUAGGUGGCGAGCGUUGUCCGGAUUUACUGGGCGUAAAGGGAGCGUAGGCGGACUUUUAAGUGAGAUGUGAAAUACUCGGGCUCAACUUGAGUGCUGCAUUUCAAACUGGAAGUCUAGAGUGCAGGAGAGGAGAAUGGAAUUCCUAGUGUAGCGGUGAAAUGCGUAGAUAUUAGGAGGAACACCAGUGGCGAAGGCGGCUUACUGGACUGUAACUGACACUGAGGCUCGAAAGCGUGGGGAGCAAACAGG